GAGAGCGGCGUACGGGUGCGGAACACGUGUGCACUGCUUUAUCUGGGGGAUAGCCUUUCGAAAGGAAGAUUAAUACCCCAUAAUAUGUUUGAAUGGCAUCAUUCGACAUUGAAAACUCCGGUGGAUAGAGAUGGGCACGCGCAAGAUUAGAUAGUUGGUGAGGUAACCGUGUCACUCAAANGCNCUAACAGAUCUUUAGUGUGGGCCUAGAAGAGGUGUUGAUCCCACCACAAUCUGGUACUUGAUGACACUGGGACCUAGUAACUNCCUACAGUGUGAGGGCAGNCCUAGCUGACGGAAUUAUNUGGAACAAAUUGGUCGUGAUGAAUGCCUUUGAAUUCCUAGCUCCAUUCCNCCGGCCGGUUUGAAAGGGGAAACCGGAACCUUGGGCCCCCUAANUUGGGGUUUGGUUACAAACCUUUCCUUUUUUUGGGUAAAUUUAAGGGGGGGACUUUAAAACCCUUUAAACCCCCCUUUACAGGUUUGGAAAGUGGUGGUUAAGGCCCUUUGGAACAGGGGUUUACACCAUUAAUUUCAAUCUGCAACAUUUUACAAUGGUCACAACACCCGUGGGGUCUUUUAAAAAACACCCUCGUGGUU
rnacentral:rRNA from 1 species